rnacentral:rRNA from 1 species
AGAGUUUGAUCCUGGCUCAGGAUGAACGCUAGCGGCAGGCCUAAUACAUGCAAGUCGUACGGUAAAGUCCCCCUUCGGGGGAUGAGAGUGGCGGACGGGUGCGUAACGCGUAUGCAACCAACCCCCGACGGGCGGACAGCCGGUGGAAACGCCGGAUAAUACGCCAUGCGACCGACCAGGGGCAUCCCUAGUCGGCCAAAGCCUCGGCGGUCGGGGACGGACAUGCGUGCCAUUAGGUAGUCGGCGGGGUGAGGGCCCACCGAGCCUACGAUGGCUAGGGGAUCUGAGAGGACGGUCCCCCACACUGGUACUGAGACACGGACCAGACUCCUGCGGGAGGCAGCAGUAAGGGAUAUUGGGCAAUGGGCGCAAGCCUGACCCAGCCAUGCCGCGUGAGGGAAUGAGGCCCUACGGGUCGUGAACCUCUUUUACUCGGGGACAAGGACGGCGUCGCGAACGCUGUUUGAGGGUACCGAGGGAAUAAGCCACGGCUAACUACGUGCC